rnacentral:rRNA from 1 species
AGAGUUUGAUCCUGGCUCAGAACGAACGCUGGCGGCAGGCUUAACACAUGCAAGUUGAACGGGAUUUGUGUGGUGCUUGCACCAUAUAAUGAGAGUAGCGCACUGGUGAGUAACACGUGGGAACGUACCUUUUGGUGGGGGACAACAUCUGGAAACGGAUGCUAAUACCGCAUAAGACCUGAGGGUGAAAGAUUUAUCGCCGAAAGAACGGCCCGCGGAAGAUUAGGCAGUUGGUGGGGUAAAGGCCUACCAAACCUACGAUCUAUAGCUGGUCUGAGAGGACGAUCAGCCACACUGGAACUGAGACACGGUCCAGACUCCUACGGGAGGCAGCAGUGAGGAAUAUUGGGCAAUGGAGGCAACUCUGACCCAGCCAUGCCGCGUGAGUGAAGAAGGUUUUCGGAUUGUAAAGCUCUUUCGGAUGUGACGAUGAUGACGGUAGCAUCUAAAGAAGCCCCGGCUAACUUCGUGCCAGCAGCCGCGGUAAUACGAAGGGGGCGAGCGUUGUUCGGAAUUACUGGGCGUAAAGGGUGUGUAGGCGGUUAUGUAAGAUAGCGGUGAAAUCCCGGGGCUUAACCUCGGAAUAGCCGUUAUAACUAUGUAGCUAGAGUUAUGGAGAGGAUAGCGGAAUACCCAGUGUAGAGGUGAAAUUCGUAGAUAUUGGGUAGAACACCAGUGGCGAAGGCGAGUAUCUGGCUGUCUACUGACGCUGAGGCACGAAAGCAUGGGGAUCAAACAGGAUUAGAUACCCUGGUAGUCCAUGCUGUAAACGAUGAAUGCUGGUUGUCGGCUUUAGGGUCGGUGACGAAGUUAACGCGAUAAGCAUUCCGCCUGGGGAGUACGGUCGCAAGAUUAAAACUCAAAGGAAUUGACGGGGACCCG